GAUGAAGAACGUAGCGAAAUGCGAUAAGUAGUGUGAAUUGCAGAAUUCAGUGAAUCAUCGAAUCUUUGAACGCACAUUGCGCCCCAUGGUAUUCCGUGGGGCAUGCCUGUUCGAGCGUCAUUUACCCCCUCAAGCUCCGCUUGGUGUUGGGCGUCUGUCCCGCUUCGCGCGCGGACUCGCCCCAAAGGUAUUGGCAGCGGUCGUGCCAGCUUCUCGCGCAGCACAUUGCGCUUCUCGAGGCACCGGUGGGCCCGCAUCCAUCAAGCUCACCCCCCCAGUUUGACCUCGGAUCAGGUAGGGAUACCCGCUGAACUUAAGCAUAUCAAUAAGCGGAGGA
rnacentral:misc_RNA from 1 species